rnacentral:rRNA from 1 species
UACCAGCACCCCGAGUGGUCGGGACGAUUAUUGGGCCUAAAGCAUCCGUAGCCGGCCUUACAAGUCCUCCGUUAAAUCCAGCUGCUUAACAGAUGGGCUGCGGAGGAUACUAUAAGACUAGGAGGCAGGAGAGGCAAGCGGUACUCAGUGGGUAGGGGUAAAAUCCGUUGAUCCAUUGAAGACCACCAGUGGCGAAGGCGGCUUGCCAGAAUGCGCUCGACGGUGAGGGAUGAAAGCUGGGGAGCAACCGGG